GACGAACGCUGGCGGCGUGCCUAAUACAUGCAAGUAGAACGCAGAUGCGAACGGGUGAGUAACGCGUAGGUAACUGCCUCAUAGCGGGGGAUAACCAUUGGAAACGAUAGCUAAUACCGCCUACUGUGAGAUGGACCUGCGUUGUAUUAGCUAGUUGGUGAGGUAAAGGCUCACCAAGGCGCCGAUGCAUAGCCGACCUGAGAGGGAGGUCGGCCCCACUGGGACCGAGACACGGCCCCGACUCCUACGGGAGGCAACAGUAGGGAAACUUCGGAAAAGGGCGGCAGUCUGGCCGAGCAACGGCGCGUGGGUGAAGGAAGUUUUCGGGUCGGAAAGCUCUGUUGUUAGAGAAGCGGUAACUGACCAGAAAGGGACGGCUAACUACGUGCCAGCAGCCGCGGUAAUUC
rnacentral:rRNA from 1 species